rnacentral:tRNA from 1 species
GUUAUUGUGGUGUAAGGUUAACACAUUACAUUUUCGUUGUAGGGAUAAAGAAUUGUCUUUUAAUAAUG